AACUUACUUCAAUCUCUUGUUUGGGCGUUACACUUGAUGAAACACUAACUUAGUGUUUCAUCAAGUGUAACGCCCAAACAAGAGAUUGA